CUUGAGCCAAGAGCGACGGGCGAUUUGUGCAUACUUAGUUUCAUAUUUCAGAAUAAAAUCUUAUUUUAAAACUUAAUUUUAAGUCCUUUUUCUUAAAUUUUACUAAUUUAGUCUAUUUAUUUUACUCUAUGUAUCCCAUAAAACUUCCUUUUCAUUGUCUCUGUCUUGAUUUGUAUUAUUAUAAAUAAGGAUGAUUUUUAAUAAAAACCUUUUAAUUUUAAUUUUACACAAUGAUAUAGAAGAUAAAAGAAUAGGCCUAAUUUAUCGUGGGUUAUCUAUUAUAGGACAGGAUCCCCUAUUUUGUCUAUUUACCGCCAUCACAUUUGAGUUUCUUUUAUUUAAAUACUUAUCUUAUUUUACCUAGAA
rnacentral:rRNA from 1 species